rnacentral:rRNA from 1 species
GACGAACGCUGGCGGCGUGCUUAACACAUGCAAGUCGAACGGAAAGGCCCUGCUUUUGUGGGGUGCUCGAGUGGCGAACGGGUGAGUAACACGUGAGUAACCUGCCCUUGACUUUGGGAUAUCUUCAGGAAACUGGGGCUAAUACCGGAUAGGAGCUCCUGCUGCAUGGUGGGGGUUGGAAAGUUUCGGCGGUUGGGGAUGGACUCGCGGCUUAUCAGCUUGUUGGUGGGGUAGUGGCUUACCAAGGCUUUGACGGGUAGCCGGCCGGAGAGGGUGACCGGCCACAUUGGUACUAAGAUACGGCCCAGACUACUACGGGAGGCAGCAGUGGGGAAUAUUGCACAAUAGGCGGAAGCCUGAUGCAGCAACGCCGCGUGCGGGAUGAAGGCCGUCGGGUUGUAAACCGCUUUCGCCUGUGACGAAGCGUGAGUGACGGUAAUGGGUAAAGAAGCACCGGCUAACUACGUG